CUAAGGAGCACCACGAGAAACACUCCAAUUGGUGGGGUGUGAGCCGUGAGGGGUUCUCGCCUGUAGUGGGCGGGAGCCGGGUGCGCGACAACAAGCGAAUGGCCAGACACACUAUUGGGCCCUGAGACAACACUCGGCCGAGCCGUGUGGAGUCCCCCCAUCUUGGUGGUGGGGUGUGGUGUUUGAGUAUUGGAUAGUGGUUGCGAGCAUCUAGAUGGAUGCGUUGCCCUUACCGGCACGUGUUCAUCUUGUGUAAUUUCUUUUGAUUUUUUGUGUAAGUAAGUGCUUAAGGGCGCAUGGUGGAUGCCUUGGC
rnacentral:misc_RNA from 1 species